AUUCCAUCGACAGUAUUCACAUUCGGCUUCAGCAGUCUGGUCAGUCUGAUAAGAUUGUUCACACGGUAUAUAGACAGCCCGUGGCCUUGGACAGACUCAGUGUUCACGAUAUCACCCCAUCUGACGCAACAGCAAAUGGUCUUAAGCAUGCCUUCGUCCUAGUCCAGAUCAGUCGGUACCAACAGAUCAUUGGUGUAUUUACGUUACAGGCUGUUACAGAUUCUCACAAGGCUACUUGGGUAGACAAGCUGUCACAAGCAAGAGAGAAAUUCAAUUCCGUUCCGGAUAUUUUGGCAAAUCAGUUAUCGCCUGGCGAGGAAGGCGGAGCUCAAGAUGGACUUAUAUCUUCGGACAUUGUCAGGGCAACCAAACAAAACCGUCGAGCGCCGUCGCUCAGAAACCCUCAUGGAAAGUCCUUGUCUAUGGAUGCCGUUUACCUGUGAUCUUUAUGGAUGGAUUUUAUGUUUAUCAUGAUAAUUGGGAAAUCGUUGAGGUACCAUACGGACAUAUGUUAUCCUGAAUCUGUAAUACCAGAUGUGUGAUCUAUGAAUUCCUCAAGUGACAAAACCCAUAAAGAAGUAGAAUUGGCGGGAGAAGAUGGGGGAUAUGGCGAAGUUGUGAUAUUGACAUUUUGUUACACAUCAUUCAGAUAAUGUGAUAACUAGACGUGUU